AACGCGAAGAACCUUACCUGGGCUCGAAAUGUACAGGACAGUCGUAGAAAUACGAUCUCCCAGCAAUGGGUCUGUAUAUAGGUGCUGCAUGGCUGUCGUCAGCUCGUGUCGUGAGAUGUUGGGUUAAGUCCCGCAACGAGCGCAACCCUUAUCUCCAGUUGCUACCAUUUAGUUGAGCACUCUGGCGAAACCGCCUCGGAUAACGGGGAGGAAGGUGGGGAUGACGUCAAGUCCUCAUGGCCUUUAUGUCCAGGGCUACACACGUGCUACAAUGGCCGGUACAAACCGCUGCAACCCCGCGAGGGUGAGCUAAUCGGAAAAAGCCGGCCUCAGUUCGGAUUGGAGUCUGCAACUCGACUCCAUGAAGCUGGAAUCGCUAGUAAUCGUGGAUCAGCAUGCCACGGUGAAUACGUUCCCGGGCCUUGUA
rnacentral:rRNA from 1 species